GCAUAUUCAUAAGCGGAGGAAAAGAAACCAACAGGGAUUGCCCCAGUAACGGCGAGUGAAGCGGCAACAGCUCAAAUUUGAAAUCUGGCCCCAGGCCCGAGUUGUAAUUUGCAGAGGAUGCUUUUGGCGCGGUGCCUUCCGAGUGCCCUGGAACGGGACGCCACAGAGGGUGAGAGCCCCAUCUGGUUGGACACCAAGCCUAUGUAAAGCUCCUUCGACGAGUCGAGUAGUUUGGGAAUGCUGCUCUAAAUGGGAGGUAUAUGUCUUCUAAAGCUAAAUACCGGCCAGAGACCGAUAGCGCACAAGUAGAGUGAUCGAAAGAUGAAAAGCACUUUGAAAAGAGGGUUAAAUAGUACGUGAAAUUGUUGAAAGGGAAGCGCUUAUGACCAGACUUGGGCCCGGUGAAUCAUCCAGCGUUCUCGCUGGUGCACUUUGCCGGGCACAGGCCAGCAUCAGUUCGCCGCGGGGGAUAAAGGCUUCGGGAAUGUGGCUCCCUCGGGAGUGUUAUAGCCCGUUGCACAAUACCUGGGGCGGACUGAGGUUCGCGCAUCUGCUAGGAUGCUGGCGUAAUGGUCAUCAGCGACCCGUCUUGAAACACGGACCAAGGAGUCGUCUUCGUAUGCGAGUGUUCGGGUGUAAAACCCCUACGCGUAAUGAAAGUGAACGCAGGUGAGAGCUUCGGCGCAUCAUCGACCGAUCCUGAUGUUCUCGGAUGGAUUUGAGUAAGAGCAUACGGGGCCGGACCCGAAAGAAGGUGAACUAUGCCUGUAUAGGGUGAAGCCAGAGGAAACUCUGGUGGAGGCUCGCAGCGGUUCUGACGUGCAAAUCGAUCGUCAAAUAUGGGCAUGGGGGCGAAAGACUAAUCGA
rnacentral:rRNA from 1 species